AGUCCGCCCGCCGCCACCUCAGGCCGUUGGCGCCCCGGCCCCACCCCUCGCGCCGCUGCGCCCCGCCCCGCCAUCCUCCGGCUGUCGAACCCGGCCAGCCGCGGCCCGAGGCAUCCGCCCGCCCGCGGGGGUACCAGAGCCGACGGCAGUGUCGCCAAGGCCGCGGAGCCGGGCCGCCAUACCUGCACUUUCCUCCGCCCGGCUGUGUUCUGCCGGUGAUGGGCCGCCAUCUUGCAUGUUGACACUCCGACGUCACUUCCGGGAGAGUUGAAGCGCCAGCGGAUGUCCCGCCCUACUCUGUGGUUGGGUAGAAGGUGCUGUGAAUCCUGCCAGGGAAAAAGAAGCAUCCGUGAUAAACCAGCCGACCACCUUGCCAGGCAAGAUGUGCCCGCUGCUGUAGGGUUAUGAGGGCAACCAAUUACUUUUGGAUUUGAGAUGGUACAGCCAUUGCCCCAUGUGCUGCUAUGGUUAUCUGCAGAAGACCUGUAAAUAUUCCAACACGCGGCACUGAAUGAACUCUGGGUUCUUAACACUGAAAAGGAGAGGACAUGAGGCUCGGAAAAGACCGGACCGUUUAAUGAGAUGCCGUGCUCAGGCGAUGUUUAUGCACUUGGAGUGCGAAGCAGGCUCAGCAAGCCACCAGAACCAAGCCAGUAAGCAGCACCUCUCCAUGGCCUCUGCAUCAGCUUCUGCCUCCGGGUUCCUGUCCUACCUUGUUUGAGUUCUUGUCCUGACUUCUUCCAUGAUGGAAGACUCUGUGGAAGCUUAAAUAAACCCUUUCCUCUCCGA